CUUGGCCUCCCAAAGCACUGGGUUGACAGGCGUGAGCCACUGCACCCAGCCUCUAAGAUGCGAAGGCUGUAGGGACUUCGGUGAUUGAAGCGGGAGGAGACAGUGAGAAGAAAAUACGGCCCGAACCCGAGCAGGGAGCCGGAGCAGAAGUAGAAAGUCAUGUCUGCGCGGGAGCUGCCGAUCCCACGGUCAAGUAGAACCAGAAGGGCGACGGUGGCGACCAGGAGCCCUCACAGUAGCAGCCUGAGGCUUCCAGCCCAGGAGGAGCCACAACCUCAAUAUUAGCAGCGUCUCUUCAGCACCAGUGCAUUCAGCAGGUUGCACCUGAAAGAGCUAGACAGCAUUUUCCCACGCUCUGAAUAUCCCGUGAUCGCCGAAAGCAGCUUGCAAUAUGCAUGGAUAUGAGUGAAGCCAAAGUGGAAGCCAGUAAGCCUGAUGAAAGCAAUUGGUCAGAGUAGCCACUCUGAAACCUGCCUCAGUCCUUGGAUACCUUUGUCCUACACAUUCUUAAAUUGGGCUGUUUUUGUUGCCUUUUCUAUGUUUGCCAAGUGAGUUUUGAACUUUAGUGGGGGAGUAAUGGGAUACAUAAACCUUAGCCUAUGGAAAUUUCCCAUUACCAGAGGGAAUAUGCUUUCUAAUGGAAAAAGAAAACGAAACAGAACUAAACUGUUACUUCUAUUUCCUGUACAAGAUUAAGUAUAAAUAAAGUUCCAUUCCUUCUAACAAUGGUAUCCUUUAGAGAACACUUCUGUGUAGAGUUAUAUUGGGACUGAGUCUGACUUGAGGAGUUGGCAAAUUAAUGCACCAAGGAGCUAUAUUGUGAGAAGGUUCAACUGUAUUUAAAAUAUUUAAACCAGGCUAUGUUCUUAGCUAAAUGACCGAAUUUAUAAAUAUUCAGGCAUUGGAGUGAGGGAAUAAGUUACACACAGAAAGAACACAUUAUAUGAGUAAUUAAUGUAUGUUUAGUUUCACUGAGACUGAUGGGGAGGACAUAGCUUAAAAGUCCAAGUGCCUGGUGGUCCUGCUGUUGUUUUUAAGGGUCUGAUGAAGCCAUGUAGAAAGUGGCAGCCCGAAAUUUUGAUUUUCUCAAAUACUUUGAUUUGUAAGCCUGAAUACACUGCUAAUAUACUGGUAUUACAGUGGGGGUGUGGGGAGGGGGCAGGUUUGCAAACUGGAUAUUUGUUUAAAAAUUGGAAUAAAAAAGAACAAUUAUUGAAUAAGUUUUCACUCACCUAAGAAGGGUGAAAAGGUUAAAGAAAAAUUGCAUACACUCAAAUAUAUACCUUGAAGAUAUGGCACAAAUGGAGCUCUAUGAGGGAAUAUUCUCUUUAGGAAUUUCUGACAACUAAGGAUUUUUUUUUUUUUUUAAUGUUACUUGGUGGGUUUCAUGUAAUUUGUUUGGUGGUGGGGUGGGGUACGCUCAAUUUAGACCAGGUUCUUACCUGUGCUAAUUUGAAAUGCUUUUUCAAUUUCCCAGGCAGUGAUGAUUAAUUUGUAGGUCAUGAGAUGAAGAAAUUGCUAAGAUUACUUAAGUAUUAUUGACCGAGUAUAUUUUCAAAACAAAAAGAAAAUCCAGGAUGAGGUUAUGAGCUGUGCUGUGCAGUUCGCGUGAGUGCAGUGAUGCGCCCACUCCGCCAUGACCAAGCCUUUUUUUUUCAGACCAUCUUUUUCACUCCCAAGAGUUUUCAGAGGAUGAAGGCCAGCCCAGUGGCUCACGCCUGUAAUCCCAGCAAUUUGGGAGGCCAAGGCGGGCAGAUCACGUGCUGUCAGGAGUUCGA